CCAGACUCCUACGGGAGGCAGCAGUCGGGAAUAUUGCGCAAUGGAGGAAACUCUGACGCAGUGACGCCGCGUAUAGGAAGAAGGUUUUCGGAUUGUAAACUAUUGUCGUUAGGGAAGAGAAAGGACAGUACCUAAGGAGGAAGCACCGGCUAACUACGUGCCAGCAGCCGCGGUAAUACGUAGGGUGCGAGCGUUAAUCGGAAUUACUGGGCGUAAAGGGUGUGCAGGCGGCUGAGUAAGACAGAUGUGAAAUCCCCGGGCUUAACCUGGGAACCGCAUAUGUGACUGCUUGGCUAGAGUGCGUCAGAGGGAGGUGGAAUUCCACGUGUAGCAGUGAAAUGCGUAGAUAUGUGGAAGAACACCGAUGGCGAAGGCAGCCUCCUGGGACGCAACUGACGCUCAUACACGAAAGCGUGGGGAGCAAACAGGAUUAGAUACCCCCGUA
rnacentral:rRNA from 1 species